ACUCCUACGGGAGGCAGCAGUGGGGAAUAUUGCACAAUGGGCGCAAGCCUGAUGCAGCCAUGCCGCGUGUAUGAAGAAGGCCUUCGGGUUGUAAAGUACUUUCAGCAGUGAGGAAGGUGGAGUCGUUAAUAGCGGCCUCAUUUGACGUUAGCUGCAGAAGAAGCACCGGCUAACUCCGUGCCAGCAGCCGCGGUAAUACGGAGGGUGCGAGCGUUGUCCGGAAUUACUGGGCGUAAAGAGCUCGUAGGCGGUUUGUCACGUCGUCUGUGAAAUCCUAGGGCUUAACCCUGGACGUGCAGGCGAUACGGGCUGACUUGAGUACUACAGGGGAGACUGGAAUUUCUGGUGUAGCGGUGGAAUGCACAGAUAUCAGGAAGAACACCGAUGGCGAAGGCAGGUCUCUGGGUAGUAACUGACGCUGAGGAGCGAAAGCAUGGGUAGCGAACAGGAUUAGAUACCCUGGUAGCUACGAGU
rnacentral:rRNA from 1 species